GGGAAACAUCACAAUAUACAGCACAAGUUACCUACCUUGAGUAGCCUCUCUUCUUAUGAAUGACAAGAUUGCUGUGAUGGGGGACUGCCCAACAGCACAGCCACACUCCCUUCCUGUGACGCAGAGCACACGCUGAAUAAAAGGACAAUCCUUGCCUGAUUCGUCUCCGUUCCUGCGCUAUGGAGAGAACCUGCUUGUCAGAGCCUCUGUGUGAAGGUAAAAAUGCAAUCUAGACCAGAAUAUGGAGCUGAAGAAGCAAUAGGAUGUCUAGGAUGAGGGGAACUUCUGCAAGUCUCUACUCUCAGUGCCUGGGCAGGAAGCAACAGAGCUACUUGUUGGAGGUUUAUAGAGGCCUUAAAAACUGAAGAAAGAGUUCAACAUACAAAAGUCUCUGGUCCACUCUGCAGGCUUUUAUAUGAAUAGGAGAAAUACUAUACAGCAAAAUAACAGUGUCUUAAAUUAAGGUACGUCCCUUUAGAGCAUCUCUGUCUAAUUCAUAAUGCUGAUCACUCAACAAUAAUUAUUUACUUCAAAUU